rnacentral:rRNA from 1 species
GGUCAUAAUAUCUGGAAUGAUUUAUGGUUUAAAUCUAUAUGGCCUCUGGAUUGGACUGCGGCCGAUCAGGCUGUUGGUGAGGUAAUGGCCCACCAAACCUGAAACCGGUACGGGCUCUGAGAGGAGAAGCCCGGAGAUGGGCACUGAGACAAGGGCCCAGGCCCUAUGGGGCGCAGCAGGCGCGAAAACUCUGCAAUAAGCGAAAGCUUGACAGGGUUAUUCUGAGUGAUUUCCGCUAAGGAAAUCUUUUGGCACCUCUAAAAAUGGUGCAGAAUAAGGGGUGGGCAAGCCUGGUGUCAGCCGCCGCGGUAAUACCAGCACCCCGAGUGGUCGGGACGAUUAUUGGGCCUAAAGCAUCCGUAGCCGGUUCUACAAGUCUUCCGUUAAAUCCACCUGCUUAACAGAUGGGCUGCGGAGGAUACUAUAGAGCUAGGAGGCGGGAGAGGCAAGCGGUACUUAGUGGGUAGGGGUAAAAUCCGUUGAUCCAUUGAAGACCACCAGUGGCGAAGGCGGCUUGCCAGAACGCACUCGACGGUGAGGGAUGAAAGCUGGGGGAGCAAACCGGAUUAGAUACCCGGGUAGUCCCAGCUGUAAACGAUGCAGACUCGGUGAUGAAUAGGCUUCGUGCCUAUUCAGUGCC